AGUUUAGUCCUGGCUCAGGAUGAACGCUAGCGGCAGGCCUAACACAUGCAAGUCGAACGGUAACAGGGAUUGCUUGCAAUCCGCUGACGAGUGGCGCACGGGUGCGUAACGCGUAUACAAUCUGCCUUACACUGGGGGAUAGCCUUUAGAAAUGAAGAUUAAUACCCCAUGGUCUAUAGAAGUGGCAUCACUUUUAUAGUAAAGGUUACGGUGUAAGAUGAGUAUGCGUCCUAUUAGUUAGUUGGUGUGGUAACGGCACACCAAGACUACGAUAGGUAGGGGCCCUGAGAGGGGGAUCCCCCACACUGGUACUGAGACACGGACCAGACUCCUACGGGAGGCAGCAGUGAGGAAUAUUGGACAAUGGGCGAGAGCCUGAUCCAGCCAUGCCGCGUGCAGGAAGACUGCCCUAUGGGUUGUAAACUGCUUUUAUACGGGAAGAAACACUCCUACGUGUAGGAAUUU
rnacentral:rRNA from 1 species